rnacentral:rRNA from 1 species
UACGUAGGGGGCUAGCGUUGUCCGGAAUCAUUGGGCGUAAAGCGCGUGUAGGCGGCCCGAUAAGUCCGCUGUGAAAGUCCAGGGCUCAACCCUGGGAUGCCGGUGGAUACUGUCGGGCUCGAGUCCGGAAGAGGCGAGUGGAAUUCCUGGGUGUAGCGGUGAAAUGCGCAGAUAUCAGGAGGAACACCAAUGGCGAAGGCAGCUCGCUGGGACGUGACUGACGCUGAGACGCGAAAGCGUGGGGAGCAAACAGG